rnacentral:rRNA from 1 species
AUAGCAUAUCAGAAGGCACACCCGGAGAACUGAAACAUCUUAGUACCCGGAGGAAGAGAAAGAAAAUUCGAUUCCCUUAGUAGCGGCGAGCGAAAUGGGAAGAGCCCAAACCAACAAGCUUGCUUGUUGGGGUUGUAGGACACUCUAUACGGAGUUACAAAGGACGACAUUAGACGAAUCAUCUGGAAAGAUGAAUCAAAGAAGGUAAUAAUCCUGUAGUCGAAAAUGUUGUCUCUCUUGAGUGGAUCCUGAGUACGACGGAGCACGUGAAAUUCCGUCGGAAUCUGGGAGGACCAUCUCCUAAGGCUAAAUACUCUCUAGUGACCGAUAGUGAACCAGUACCGUGAGGGAAAGGUGAAAAGCACCCCGGAAGGGGAGUGAAAUAGAACCUGAAACCGUGUGCUUACAAGUAGUCAGAGCCCGUUAAUGGGUGAUGGCGUGCCUUUUGUAGAAUGAACCGGCGAGUUACGAUUUGAUGCAAGGUUAAGCAGUAAAUGUGGAGCCGUAGCGAAAGCGAGUCUGAAUAGGGCGUUUAGUAUUUGGUCGUAGACCCGAAACCAGGUGAUCUACCCUUGGUCAGGUUGAAGUUCAGGUAACACUGAAUGGAGGACCGAACCGACUUACGUUGAAAAGUGAGCGGAUGAACUGAGGGUAGCGGAGAAAUUCCAAUCGAACCUGGAGAUAGCUGGUUCUCUCCGAAAUAGCUUUAGGGCUAGCCUCAAGUGAUGAUUAUUGGAGGUAGAGCACUGUUUGGACGAGGGGCCCCUCUCGGGUUACCGAAUUCAGACAAACUCCGAAUGCCAAUUAAUUUAACUUGGGAGUCAGAACAUGGGUGAUAAGGUCCGUGUUCGAAAGGGAAACAGCCCAGACCACCAGCUAAGGUCCCAAAAUAUAUGUUAAGUGGAAAAGGAUGUGGCGUUGCCCAGACAACUAGGAUGUUGGCUUAGAAGCAGCCAUCAUUUAAAGAGUGCGUAAUAGCUCACUAGUCGAGUGACACUGCGCCGAAAAUGUACCGGGGCUAAACAUAUUACCGAAGCUGUGGAUUGUCCUUUGGACAAUGGUAGGAGAGCGUUCUAAGGGCGUUGAAGCAUGAUCGUAAGGACAUGUGGAGCGCUUAGAAGUGAGAAUGCCGGUGUGAGUAGCGAAAGACGGGUGAGAAUCCCGUCCACCGAUUGACUAAGGUUUCCAGAGGAAGGCUCGUCCGCUCUGGGUUAGUCGGGUCCUAAGCUGAGGCCGACAGGCGUAGGCGAUGGAUAACAGGUUGAUAUUCCUGUACCACCUAUAAUCGUUUUAAUCGAUGGGGGGACGCAGUAGGAUAGGCGAAGCGUGCGAUUGGAUUGCACGUCUAAGCAGUAAGGCUGAGUAUUAGGCAAAUCCGGUACUCGUUAAGGCUGAGCUGUGAUGGGGAGAAGACAUUGUGUCUUCGAGUCGUUGAUUUCACACUGCCGAGAAAAGCCUCUAGAUAGAAAAUAGGUGCCCGUACCGCAAACCGACACAGGUAGUCAAGAUGAGAAUUCUAAGGUGAGCGAGCGAACUCUCGUUAAGGAACUCGGCAAAAUGACCCCGUAACUUCGGGAGAAGGGGUGCUCUUUAGGGUUAACGCCCAGAAGAGCCGCAGUGAAUAGGCCCAAGCGACUGUUUAUCAAAAACACAGGUCUCUGCUAAACCGUAAGGUGAUGUAUAGGGGCUGACGCCUGCCCGGUGCUGGAAGGUUAAGAGGAGUGGUUAGCUUCUGCGAAGCUACGAAUCGAAGCCCCAGUAAACGGCGGCCGUAACUAUAACGGUCCUAAGGUAGCGAAAUUCCUUGUCGGGUAAGUUCCGACCCGCACGAAAGGCGUAACGAUUUGGGCACUGUCUCAACGAGAGACUCGGUGAAAUCAUAGUACCUGUGAAGAUGCAGGUUACCCGCGACAGGACGGAAAGACCCCGUGGAGCUUUACUGUAGCCUGAUAUUGAAAUUCGGCACAGCUUGUACAGGAUAGGUAGGAGCCUUUGAAACGUGAGCGCUAGCUUACGUGGAGGCGCUGGUGGGAUACUACCCUAGCUGUGUUGGCUUUCUAACCCGCACCACUUAUCGUGGUGGGAGACAGUGUCAGGCGGGCAGUUUGACUGGGGCGGUCGCCUCCUAAAAGGUAACGGAGGCGCUCAAAGGUUCCCUCAGAAUGGUUGGAAAUCAUUCAUAGAGUGUAAAGGCAUAAGGGAGCUUGACUGCGAGACCUACAAGUCGAGCAGGGUCGAAAGACGGACUUAGUGAUCCGGUGGUUCCGCAUGGAAGGGCCAUCGCUCAACGGAUAAAAGCUACCCCGGGGAUAACAGGCUUAUCUCCCCCAAGAGUUCACAUCGACGGGGAGGUUUGGCACCUCGAUGUCGGCUCAUCGCAUCCUGGGGCUGUAGUCGGUCCCAAGGGUUGGGCUGUUCGCCCAUUAAAGCGGUACGCGAGCUGGGUUCAGAACGUCGUGAGACAGUUCGGUCCCUAUCCGUCGUGGGCGUAGGAAAUUUGAGAGGAGCUGUCCUUAGUACGAGAGGACCGGGAUGGACAUACCUCUGGUGUACCAGUUGUCGUGCCAACGGCAUAGCUGGGUAGCUAUGUGUGGACGGGAUAAGUGCUGAAAGCAUCUAAGCAUGAAGCCCCCCUCAAGAUGAGAUUUCCCAACUUCGGUUAUAAGAUCCCUCAAAGAUGAUGAGGUUAAUAGGUUCGAGGUGGAAGCAUGGUGACAUGUGGAGCUGACGAAUACUAAUCGAUCGAAGACUUAAUCAA